UUCCAGACUCCUACGGGAGGCAGCAGUGAGGAAUAUUGGUCAAUGGGCGGGAGCCUGAACCAGCCAAGUCGCGUGAGGGAUGACGGCCCUAUGGGUUGUAAACCUCUUUUGCCGGGGAGCAAAGUGCCGCACGUGUGCGGUUUGGAGAGUACCCGGAGAAAAAGCAUCGGCUAACUCCGUGCCAGCAGCCGCGGUAAUACGGAGGAUCCGAGCGUUAUCCGGAUUCAUUGGGUUUAAAGGGUGCGUAGGUUGUUUUAUAAGUUAGCGGUGAAAUACCGAUGCUCAACAUCGGGGCUGCCGCUAAUACUGUAGGACUAGAGAUCGGAUGCAGCAGGCGGAAUGUGUAGUGUAGCGGUGAAAUGCAUAGAUAUUACACAGAACACCGAUUGCGAAGGCAGCUUGCUAGGCCGGAUCUGACACUGAUGCACGAAAGCGUGGGGAUCGAACAGGAUUAGAUACCCUUGUAC
rnacentral:rRNA from 1 species